GGAUGUGAGGGCGAUCUGGCUGCGACAUCUGUCACCCCAUUGAUCGCCAGGGUUGAUUCGGCUGAUCUGGCUGGCUAGGCGGGUGUCCCCCUCCUCCCUCACCGAUCCAUGUGCGUCCCUCCCGAAGCUGCACGCGCUCCGUCAAAGAGGACUACCUUCCCUCCCCCGAGGGUAUACGAGUAGCUGCGCUCCCCUGCUAGAACCUCCAAACAAGCUCUCAAGAUUGAGGAGAAUUUGUUCAUGCACUACUUAUUGAGCAUCUCCUAUGUGCCAGGCACUCUG
rnacentral:snRNA from 1 species